rnacentral:rRNA from 1 species
AUUGAACGCUGGCGGCAGGCCUAACACAUGCAAGUCGAGCGAGCGGCGGACGGGUGAGUAAUGUCUGGGAAGCUGCCCGAUGGAGGGGGAUAACUACUGGAAACGGUAGCUAAUACCGCAUACUAUCGGAUGUGCCCAUAUGGGAUUAGCUAGUAGGUGGGGUAACGGCUCACCUAGGCGACGAUCCCUAGCUGGUCUGAGAGGAUGACCAGCCACACUGGGACGGAGACACGGUCCAGACUCCUACGGGAGGCAGCAGUGGGGAAUAUUGCACAAUGGGCGCAAGCCUGAUGCAGCCAUGCCGCGUGUGUGAAGAAGGCCUUAGGGUUGUAAAGCACUUUCAGCCGGGAGGCGUUACCCACAGAAGAAGCACCGGCUAACUCCGUGCCAGCCGCCGCGGUAAUUC